AGAGCCAUCACUAAAAUAUCGAAUUACAGGAAAAUAGUUUGUGGGGAACAACAAAAAUAUUUUCAAGUUGUCGUCCACAUUCAAAAAGGGAGGUGAUGGAGCCGGUGGCAUUACUGUUGGUGGUGGAUUUGUUCUUAUUUACGUAAUAACCUGUUAAAAUAAUCGAAAGCGGUGAAAAUGGAAACAGUACAAAUUCAAAGGACAUUCAACAUUAAAAACAUGAUACUCUUUUGUGUGGAAAACAAUGCUUUGUUGAUGUAUUCAUAUGAAAACCACUUCUGGAAAUCAAUGCAUAUGAAAUCAAUUGCUGAGUACAAAGAAUUGGGGUUGGCCACGGUGUAUCAUUACUUUUUGUAAUAUUAAUACAAAUAAAAUUAUAUUAAAUAAAAUUGUAUUAAAAUAAAUAAAAUAAAAUUAGAUUAAAUUA